UUAACAUAAUACUCAGCUGUUUUGAGAAAUUCUGACUGUUUUCUGUGCUACAAUACACACAGUAGGGACUAUGAAACAGAAUGUCUGAGCUGCGGACAGAGGAGGAAAUACCUCGGUGUUUACUGGCUCUCUAAAACGCGGAAGCACUUCCUUGUGAGUCCUCUGCGAGUCGUCUGCUGUAGGCCAAGAAGCAGGGCAUUCAAAACCGAUUUGAGAUGGAUCACAAAAUGUCUCAUGUGAGGGGAAUUACUGGAUCCCAAAUGGUAUCAGGUGAGGAAAACCCUGUUGGACCACAGAAUGGGAGGACAAGUGAACAGUUAUUGAUGGCAAAGCAUCAUCCACCUGUAGCACGCGCUCCAGCAGGUUUAACUCUCUGGUCACCUCCAAAACCAAUUCUUUCUUUGGCCGCCUCUCCUUCCAGUUCUCUGCUGCCAAUGACUGGAACAACUACAAAAAUCUCUGAAACUGGAAACACUUAUCUCCCUCACUAGCUUUAAGCACCAACUGUCAGAGCAGCUCACAGAUUACUGCACCUGUACAUAGCCCACCUAUAAUUUAGCCCAAACAACUACCUCUUUCCCAACUGUAUUUAAUUUAUUUAUUUAUUUUGCUCCUUUGCACCCCAUUAUUUUUAUUUCUACUUUGCACAUUCUUCCAUUGCAAAACUACCCUUCCGGUGUUUUACUUGCUAUAUUGUAUUAACUUUGCCACCAUGGCCUUUUUUUGCCUUUACCUCCCUUUUAAGUCACCUCAUUUGCUCACAUCGUAUAUAGACUUGUUUAUACUGUAUUAUUGACUGUAUGUUUGUUUUACUCCAUGUGUAACUCUGUGUCGUUGUAUCUGUCGAACUGCUUUGCUUUUUCUUGGCCAGGUCGCAAUUGUAAUUGAGAACUUGUUCUCAACUUGCCUACCUGGUUAAAUAAAGGUGAAAAAUAUAUAUAUAAAAAAUAUGCUGAAUAAGGCUGCGGCCGAAAUGUGUCCAUGCAGAGCAAUUUGGAAUCAUUAAAGAUUGUUUUCUGGUG